GCGGGGCCCAGGGACCCGCGCGCCUACGCCUACGCGUCGUCGCCCGGCGAGGCCUCCAAGGGGUCCCCCGGGUCGGUCCAGGG
rnacentral:rRNA from 1 species